GACGAACGCUGGCGGCGUGCUUAACACAUGCAAGUCGAACGGAAAGGCCCUGCUUUCGUGGGGUGCUCGAGUGGCGAACGGGUGAGUAACACGUGAGUAACCUGCCCUUGACUUUGGGAUAACUUCAGGAAACUGGGGCUAAUACCGGAUAGGAGCCCCUGCUGCAUGGUGGGGGUAGGAAAGUUUCGGCGGUUGGGGAUGGACUCGCGGCUUAUCAGCUUGUUGGUGGGGUAGUGGCUUACCAAGGCUUUGACGGGUAGCCGGCCUGAGAGGGUGACCGGCCACAUUGGGACUGAGGUACUGCCCAGACUCCUACGGGGGGCAGCAGUGGGGAAUAUUGCACAAUGGGCGGAAGCCUGAUGCAGCAACGCCGCGUGCGGGAUGACGGCCUUCGGGUUGUAAACCGCUUUCGCCUGUGACGAAGCGUGAGUGACGAUAAUGGGUAAAGAAGCACCGGCUAACUACGUG
rnacentral:rRNA from 1 species